CACACAGCACAGCAAAGCGCACUACGCCCCAUGGAUGAAACCAAGAAAGCAAGAGCAGUUUUCUGAGGUUGCCCAAGUUUGACCUUGGCCAUGGCUGCAACAGUAGAUGCAUCCUCAAGUGGGAUUUACCCUGCAUGGCCGCCUCCAUCCGAGGUCAUUGGAACACAACCAUGUAUUCACAAUGUGAAGAUCAUGGAAACACAAAAGCAUGUCCGAAAUUUAUGCAUAAGAAGUUCCAGUUUGAAGAGAAGUACCAGAUUGAAGAGGUGUUUCAGAAGAAUUUGUCACCAAGUGACAUACAACGAAAUGGAAGUUUACAACGAAAUGGAAGUUAUAGGCUUUUUAUACCGAAGCCACAUGCAGCCAGAUUCUACUCUCCUAGUUUAUGGUCAUCAUUCAAAUGGAAGUGAAGUGAAUGUCCAUGACCUUCAAAUGAAUAGCUGGCCAAUGCAUUUUCGUAGAAUUGGUGGAAAUGUUUCUCUCACUCGAGGGUGGAGCCGGUUUGGUCAAGCAAAACAACUAAGGAGAGAAGAGAUACUAUCACCUUUUAUGAGUUCAAUUGCCUUCACAAGAUCAUGAAAACACAGAAGCAUGUCUGAAAUGUAUGCACAAGAAGUGCCAGCUUGAACAAUCAGAAGAUUUUGUCACCAAGUGACAUACAACGAAAAGGAAGCUAUAGGCUUUAUUUACCGAAGCCACAUGCAACCAGAUUUUAGUCUUCCAAUUUAUGGUCAUUGUUAAGAUGGAAGUGGAGGGAUUGUCUAUGAUCUUCAAAUGAAGAGCUGGCCAAUGGGUUUUCGUACAAGUGGUGGAAACGCAUAUCUCACCAGAGGGUGGAGCCGAUUUGCUCAAGCGAAGCAGCAAAGUGGAGGAGAUACUAUCACUUUUUAUGAGCUCAAUUACCCUUACAAGGUCAUGAAAACACAAAAGAAUGUUCAAAGCAUAUGCCCAAGUAGCAGCAUGAACAAGUGUUUUAGAAGAUUUGAAGUGUUUCAGAAGAUUUUGCACCAAGUGACGUACAACGAAAAGGAAGCUGUAGGUUUAUUUAUUGAAGCCACAUGCAGCCAUAUUUUGUUUGCUUAGUUUUUGGUCAUCCUUCAAGUUGAAGUAGUGAAGUGACUUACUAUGAUGUUCAAAUAAAGAGCUGGCCAAUGUGUUUUCAUAGAAGUGGUGGAAAAGCUUAUCUCAGCCGAGGGUGAAGCCGGUUUGCUCAAGCGAAGCAGCUGAGCGAAAGAGACACCAUCACCUGUUAUGAGCUCAAUUGUCCGAGAGUAAAUUAAGCUAAAUAGUUAGUACAACAAUUUGACAAAGUCAAAAAACUUGGGUCAACAAGUUGUAUUAUUUAGCUCAAUUUUUUCUCUGACAAUUGAGCUCAUAAAAGGUGAUGGUGUCUCCUUCGCGUAGCUGCUUCACUUGAGCAAACCAGCUCCACCCUCGGGUGAGAUAAGCUUUUCCACCACUUCUAUGAAAAUGCAUAUGCUGAUAUUUAUCAUAUGUACUACAGAUGUAUUCUGCUCUAUUGAACUUAUUAUAUAUCUACUUUUUUAUUGUGAUA